CCUUGUGAGGCCAAGACUUUGCUGUCUAGACCUUGUAAACACUACUAACAUAUGUCCUCCAAGAGCUGUCUUCAUUUCCCAAAUACUCCUUUCUACAGUUUUUAAAGAUAACCAAGUCAGAUGAACAAAAGAUCUGAAGCACGCUUUGGUAUCCUCGGGAAAUGUAUAGAGCAUUACCGAAAUGGAAGUUGCACUCUGGGUCAAGUCAAAGGUGUCCUGAAGGGCAGCAGAGAAAGCCACAGAGCACAAGAAC
rnacentral:lncRNA from 1 species